AAACCAACAGGGAUUGCCUUAGUAACGGCGAGUGAAGCGGCAAAAGCUCAAAUUUGAAAGCUAGCACCUUCGGUGUUCGCGUUGUAAUUUGAAGAUAGUUUCCUUGAGUAGUCCUUUAUCUAUGUUCCUUGGAACAGGACGUCAUAGAGGGUGAGAACCCCGUAUGAUUUUGGAUACUACUCUUUGUGGGAUUCUAUCGAAGAGUCGAGUUGUUUGGGAAUGCAGCUCUAAGUGGGUGAUAAAUUCCAUCUAAAGCUAAAUAUUGGCGAGAGACCGAUAGCGAACAAGUACAGUGAUGGAAAGAUGAAAAGAACUCUGAAGAGAGAGUGAAAAAGUACGUGAAAUUGCUGAAAGGGAAGGGCUUGAGGUCAGACUUGGUGUUUAAUGAUUAUCAGUUCUUCUUGGACUGUGCACUCGUUUUUCACCGGGCCAAUAUCAGUUUUAGCGGUAGAGUACCCCUUGAAAUGUGGCUUCCUUCGGGGAGUGUUAUAGUCUUGGGGAGAUCUACUUGCUGGGACUGAGGACUGCGCUUCGGCAAGGAUAUUGGCAUAAUGACCUUAAGCCGC
rnacentral:rRNA from 1 species